rnacentral:rRNA from 1 species
UACGUAGGGUGCGAGCGUUGUCCGGAAUUAUUGGGCGUAAAGAGCUCGUAGGCGGUGUGUCACGUCGGCCGUGAAAACCUGCAGCUUAACUGUGGGCGUGCGGUCGAUACGGGCAUCACUGGAGUUCGGCAGGGGAGACUGGAAUUCCUGGUGUAGCGGUGAAAUGCGCAGAUAUCAGGAGGAACACCGGUGGCGAAGGCGGGUCUCUAGGCCGAUACUGACGCUGAGGAGCGAAAGCGUGGGGAGCAAACAGG